GCCCUGUUAGCUCAGUUGGUAGAGCAUUGGACUUUUAAUCCAAUGGUUCAAUGGGUUCAAGUCCCACAUAGGGCG
rnacentral:tRNA from 1 species